CGAAAGUGGACUAUCUCUCCCAUUACGCUAACGUGAGGUGGCAGGCGAAAACUGAUAGUACUAGUAGUAUUACGAGUAUUGCCAAAGACAAUAAUUUACCGAUCACAUGCGUACAUAUCCUCUUUUCCCUGAUGAUUAUUAGUAGGUUCUUUGUUGCUUAACUUCACUUUGGACCUCCCGUAUUAGGAGGCUGGGUGAGGUCCAAGUUUUCUCCUCCAUCAGAGAGAGUUGUGCCUCUUGACAUGAUCGCAUCCUGAAAUAGUAACCAUUCGGCAUCAGUUGAUGUCAGUGCACGCUAUCCCAAGCAUACCAUCAUGUGCUGGCGGUAACUCACUGUUGAAAUCGUUCGUUCUGGCCGAUGUCCGCCGUUUACCCACCCCGAGUCUCUUCCAGUAGCCAAAGCACGGUUGAGAUCAUUCAAGCUUCUCCCGAGGUUGAAAUAAUCAAUUGAUUCUUGCAAUGAAGGGAGAGACUGCCCCCGGGUCAUCGAUGUCAUAAGGCUCAUCAUCUCUGGAUCGGUCAAAGUCGAAGCCAUAAACUGGUUAAAUUCGUCUUGCAAUGACCCGUCGCUUCUUGGGCCCAAGCAUUAACCUGCGUCGCAGAAGUAGAGUCGCUGAUCACUGAUCUGACCUGUGAGUCCAUGGCUGGAUCGGUCAGCAAACUAUGGAAAAUUGAUUGAGGGCGAUCGGCAGACCAGAAUUUAAGCAUUAAAGAGGCGCCUUUUGACAUUUGACGAUGCGAACGUAUGUAUGUGCUGGAGGAAGAAGGUGUUGAUAGCUGGGCAUCAGACAUUCCGCUGGUACCCACCUCUGUGUUUCUCUGGGAAGACAUUUUUUUUUCAGUCCUUUUGGUAUUGGCGGAUAGGUGAUGGUUGAUGAUUCUCGGUUUUCCACUCUUAUUCUUGUUGUUAUGGCCCUUUACGAGGUCGGCUUAUAUACAAACACCAGAAAAAAGCUCCCUUUUAACCUCUAGUAGAAGUCGCCGAUGACCAGUUCACCAACUUCCUUCCUCCUUUAAGCGGCCAUCGAAAGCUAUAUCUGGAACCCUCACAAGCACCAUUUCGUCUAGUGUGAUAUUGCACUUCCCUUAUUCAAUGCAAUCAGAUACUACCGAACGAAGCCUCUCUAAGUAUCUCGGAU
rnacentral:sRNA from 1 species